CGGCGCCUCUUCUUCUCUCUCCACACCUGACUCGGUGCUACGGUCUUCUCAGGAUCAUCUUGUUCAAGUUGUAUGUCUUCAGACCUUACCACUUCUCCUUCGUAGUCUGCCCAUCCGUCCUUGAUGAUUUGCCUCCUCUGGUUGCGGUUGCGUCGUCUUCUUCUUGUCCUGACCUGCUUAGAAUCUUCAACUAUAUAGUUAGGGUCAGUAAAAUAGCGGCAUACCUUCUCUGAGGGGAAGUGCAUAUGGACUUCUCCAGUUCCAAUGUAGAUGAUUGCUUUAACGGUGCUGAGGAACGGUCUCCCAAGGAUGAUGGGUGGAUAGUACUCAUCUUCUCCCAUGUCAAUAACCUGAAAGUCUGUAUGGACAAAAUAAUCGUCUAUUUUGACCGGGACAUUAGUUACUAUUCCUUCAAUCUUUCGG
rnacentral:lncRNA from 1 species